rnacentral:rRNA from 1 species
GUGCCAGCAGCCGCGGUAAUACGUAGGUGGCAAGCGUUGUCCGGAUUUACUGGGCGUAAAGGAUGUGUAGGCGGAUAUUUAAGUGAGAUGUGAAAUCCCCGGGCUUAACUUGGGGGCUGCAUUUCAAACUGGAUGUCUAGAGUGCAGGAGAGGAAAGCAGAAUUCCUAGUGUAGCGGUGAAAUGCGUGGAGAUAGUGAAGAAUACCAGUGGCGAAGGCGGAUUUCUGGACUGUAACUGUCUCUGAGGCAUG